AACGAACGCUGGCGGUAGGCCUAACACAUGCAAGUCGAACGACACCUUCGUAACUACUUGCUCACGCGUGCGUAACGCGGCGGAACGUGGCCUUAUGUUCGGGAUAACACUCUUUAAUGGGGGCUAAUACCGGAUAACUUCCGCUGACAAAAGAUAUAUCGCCUUUGGAUGGGCACGCGUUGGAUUAGCUAGUUGGGAGGGUAAAAGCCUACGAAGGAUACGAUCCAUAGCUGGGCAGAGAGGAUGAUCAGCCACACUGGGUCUGAGACACGGCCCAGACUCUUACGGGAGGCAGCAGUGGGGAAUAUUGGACAAUGGGCGAAAGCAUGAUCCAGCAAUGCCGGGUGAGUGAUGAAGGUGUUAGGGUUGUAAAGCUCUUUUACCCGGGAUGAUAAUGACAGUACCGGGAGAAUAAGCACCGGCUAACUCCGUG
rnacentral:rRNA from 1 species